rnacentral:Y_RNA from 1 species
GACUGGUCCAAGGGCAGUGACGUUCACAACUAACUGAUCACAGACAGUUACAGAUGCCUUUGUUCCUCUUCCACUCCCAAUGCUUCACUUGACUAGCCUAAA